CGGAAGCGUACCUGAAUCCAUUUGUGGAAAUCCUUAAGCCUCCUUUGAUGAUUGUUUGAAAGCUCCUUACUCCUAACUUCAAGAUUGUCUUGAAGUCUUACACAAGAAUUUCACAAGAUUGUUUCACAAGUAUAUCUUCCAAACAACAAAUAUUGGAGAUUGAUUUUCCACAAGAAUAUGCAAGACAAAGAUUGGCUCUCUUGAUUCAAUGGGAAGAAGAAGAGAUUGUCUUGCUAUAAUGUGGGAACCAUAA
rnacentral:lncRNA from 1 species